rnacentral:lncRNA from 1 species
CGAGCUUUCCUGCCCAGAGCACCUAAGGGACGGUUUUUGCUUCUCCUAAAUUUGUCACUUCUUUAAUCUCCUAUCCUCCCAUAACCAUUUGUGGUUCUUGCAGGUUUGCUCCUAGGGACUAAUUUGUGCUUUCCGUUUCCAUGGACAUGGGUUGGCCAGGAAUCCCACUCCAUCUGGCCCCGGUCACCUUAAUGUCUGAAGUGUGUGCUGCAGGAAACUGAGUCCUCACUUGUUCUUGAGGUCCUCCACUAGGUCCUGCAUGUUUCUCAGCUCUUGAGUCCAGGUGGCUACGCCCUCUGCUCUCGAUGAUACUCGUCCAGCUGCCUCCUGAGGUUGUUGAUGUACUGCCUCGAAUCCGCUCCAGGUUCUGCCUCGACGGUCUUUGGUGCCCUGCUCCCGGUGCAGUGGGUCCACUUGGUGUCCAGAACCUUGUUCUGCUGCUCCAGGAACCGCACCUGGAGGGGAAGCAAGACGGUCAUUUUCCAGGCAAAGGAAGGAAGAAAAAGUGUCUGAUAUCUGGUUUCCUGGCAGGUCCAGGAGGUCCCCAUGGUGCUGGGCUACUACAUAGUGCAUGUAGAGAGGCUCAGGCUGGGCUCGGCUCCCCCAACCCCUUCUCCUUUGCACCCCACCAAUCUCACUAGAGAAAUUGUCCCACGGACCAUUGAGGUCUCCCUGGCAGGAAUGUGUUCCUCCUCUGGUCUGGGGACCCUGAAGUGCCCCGUGGAGGGCAUGACCCUGGCUCACCUUGUCGAUGAAGGAGGCGAACUUGUUGUUGAGGGUCUUGAUCUGCUCACGCUCCUCGGCCCGCACCCGCUGGAUGGCGGGGUCGAUUUGCAGGUUGAGGGGAGUCAGGAGACUCUGGUUGACGGUGACCUCUUGGAUGCCUCAAGGGGGACACACAGGGAAGCCAGGGCCCCCAAAGCCACCAGCAAGGCCGGCUCCACCACCCAGACCAAAGCCAAUGCCGGCUCCACCACCGAAACCAAAUCCACUCCCGGCGCCACCAAAGCCAUAGCUGCCUCCGGCUCUGCUGCCAUAGCCGCCACCGAUGGCACAGCUGCCCCCUCCAAUGGAGAUCCUCUUGGAGCCCCCCAGGCCAUACAGGCUGCGGCUGCCAAAGCCAGCUCCUCCACAUGCGCCACCCAGGCCACCACUGCCCCUGGAGCGGGACACGGAGACGCUGCUGAAGCCAGAGCGGCUGACCCCAGGGAGCCACAAGCGACUGACUUUUCUCUUGGCUGCUGCUGUGGCUCCUGA